UACAGAGGGGGCAAGCGUUGCUCGGAAUCACUGGGCGUAAAGGGCGCGUAGGCGGGAUGGCAAGUCAGUCGUGAAAUCUCUCGGCUCAACCGAGAAACGUCGGCUGAUACUGCCGUUCUUGAGGGAUGCAGAGGAGACUGGAAUUCCCGGUGUAGCGGUGAAAUGUGUAGAGAUCGGGAGGAACACCUGCGGCGAAGGCGGGUUGCUGGGCCGACACUGACGCUGAGGCGCGAAAGCUAGGGGAGCGAACGGG
rnacentral:rRNA from 1 species